rnacentral:rRNA from 1 species
UACGAAGGGGGGCUAGCGUUGCUCGGAAUCACUGGGCGUAAAGCGCACGUAGGCGGAUUGUUAAGUCAGGGGGUGAAAUCCUGGAGCUCAACUCCAGAACUGCCUUUGAUACUGGCGAUCUUGAGUCCGGGAGAGGUGAGUGGAACUGCGAGUGUAGAGGUGAAAUUCGUAGAUAUUCGCAAGAACACCAGUGGCGAAGGCGGCUCACUGGCCCGGUACUGACGCUGAGGUGCGAAAGCGUGGGGAGCAAACAGGG